CGCCUAGUCUCCUGGAGUAGAUUGAGAGUUUAAGCAUCCGCAGUCUCUCAUGUCUCAGCCAAUAAAAACCUUUAUCUCGCCUCACGUCUCGGAGAGUUAUUGAUGGUGCAUCACAGAUGGAGUUCAACCCAGAUGCUGCCUGACCCACUGAGUUCCUCCAGUGCCCUUCGGCUGCCCCAGAGAGAUCACCUGCUUCAUUGGCCAAUCUGGACAACCAUAAUAGCAGUGGAAUGAUUGG